rnacentral:lncRNA from 1 species
UGCAAUCGCAAUCUGUGACGACAUGAGACAGAAAUGUAGCUCUGUAAUGAAAAGGGGGAUCGUGCUAAUUGCUCUUUUCCAUUUCCUUUUAGGGUAUGCUUUGGUCCGAAGUGAGAUCUGUCUCCCUCCAGUCUUAGUCAGUGAUGUGACGGCCCAGGCGAGUUUCGUACCCGGGAUUGGCUACGGCGGGGUUGGAGUCGGAGGCGUGCCCCUGUGCGACGUGGCGGUUCGACCCUGGGACCGGCGGAAUGGGCUUGUGACUGCGCCUACUGCCCGGCGAUUGACAGACUUCGACCGGACUACUAUCCGAUUUGCGCCGAGAGGAUGGGCCGACGAACUACCUUCGACAGCUGGUGCCACUUCGACUGUGAGAAUCGCUGCUACGAGCACACGAGUAAGUACACAACAUAGAAUAAAUACAGAAGUUGGUGGCGAGCGAAGGAACGUACACUCCGAUGGCUAAAGUGUAAAACCGCGUAUCUUUAUUUACGACGUUGCA